rnacentral:lncRNA from 1 species
CAAUGUAACCACAGCUAUCGUCUGCCCUAGAGAGAGUUGAGACCACGCUGCCUAGUAGGUUGACUCCGCCGCCUCGACAAUUGCCGCGCACCAGCAACGCUGCCGCCAUUUGCACACGCUAGCUCGACCUCUUGCUCUGUCGUUGUCGUCGUUCUCGCUUCCGAUGGCGGCUGCAGGCGGCGGAUCGUUGCUGGAUCAGUCGAGGCACGCCAUGCGCAGCUGGGUACUCAAGAAUAUAGAGAAAUUGGCAGGACAUUAUGGUGCAGAGUUCAACUCUUUGCGGGCAUUUGAGGACAGGGUAUUCAAUGAGACCAGCAGCAUUGAUGAUUAUAUUUCUAAAAUAUCAACGAAGAUGGCUAUUUUGGAGCGACCGCCGUCUUCUUCAGGUAUUCAGCAUCAAGGGCAGAUGGGAAAUCAAACGAGGCUGCCUACUACAGUUAUGCAAGAACAGCCACAGCCACAGCAGCAGCCGCAUUUGAUGUCAAAUAAUCAUCACCAAACACAUGGAGGAUGGCAGAGCAAUGUUGCAAGGGUACAGAUGAUCACUGGUGUUGGAGAAGUGAAUUGGAGGGAGGAAAUGUUUCAGAAGAUCAGCGUUUUAAAGAACUCUUUCUUUUCCGAGCUUACGGAUUUUGACCGUUUACUUCACAAUUGCCAAAAAACAGAAGAACAGUUGCAGUCACUACCUAAAAAGCAAGCUGACCAAUACAAGCGGAUAACAAAGCUCAAGGAUGCGGUUAGGAGUGCUCUGGAUUUAUUGCAGCUCCAGAAGAGCAGCAUCGAUGAAGGCAUGAAGGUGAAAUUCUGCAAGUACGAAAGCUCCAUACAUAGCCUACUCAGAUUCUACAGGGAAACAAAAGCUAAAAUUAAUGAGAUGAAUGCAAAUCGUCAUAACAAUCAGCAAGAGCAACCUGCAGGCCUGCCGAGGCAAAGAAUUACUGACAGAACUCCAUCGUCAGCUCGUCGGCAAAACCGCACUGACAACGUGAUAGGCCAAUCAGAGGAUAAAUUGCGAUGCAGGGUUGAAUCAGUUGUAGCCAAGAAGAAGCCCAUCGACCGCCUAAUCAACGCUCUGCGGCACAGUGUAGAGGAUGACCGUACGGACGUCAAGAGGCAGAAAACACGGCAUGUUAACAGUGCCCUGGCGAACGAGAUCGACGCCAUGAACGCCAAGCUGAUCGAUACCGUGGUUAGAAUCGCCGGUGAGAAAGAUGGUGGGACAGAGAUUGAAUUCAGCUACACUGCAGUGUCUCUUGCACUAGACAUGAAGCAGCUAUUUGCAGCAUAUGGGACGUCUCCUGUCAAGCCGGUGAAACUAUUCGUCCCUGCUGAUUACCCUCGAAGUUCUCCGGUGGUCUCGAACAACAACGAUGAUGGAGAUGAACAGCGGCGAGGAAUGUUCGGCGAGAUCUCGGGCAUGGUCAGUGCGGCUUUUCACUGCGCGCUGCGUGAGCUCCCGCCGUCCAUGUCAGUCAAGCAGAUGGCCUCGGAGUGGAAUUCCUGCGUGCAGAUGAUCAUGAAGAAAUUUGCGAUACGGCACGGUGGAGGAACGUUCAGCUCCAGGCAUGGCCAGUGGAUGGAUUGCACCGUUGAAUGAUUUAGUACCGUGAGGUACCAAUACCUCGAGAUACUUUUUGUUGUACCGAAGCAAAUCUCUUAAUUAUUACAUGAGGAUGAAGUGAUACGAAGAACCGUAUUUGAUCUGUUGUUGUUGCUGCUGGAGGGUACAUGCAUAAUCCGCUCUGUGUAUCAUUUGUUUUGAUUAAGCUGGUAUUGCUUUUGAUAUUUCUCUGUCUGGAUUUUGUAAUUGGAACAAGCAAAAUCGCUUGUAGGACAUGUAUUUCUGAAAAUGGUAACUAUCUAUCUUUGAAGAGCCC